rnacentral:tRNA from 1 species
GGGGAUAUAGCUCAGUUGGGAGAGCACCUGCCUUGCAAGCAGGGGGGUCGAGAGUUCGAAUCUCUUUAUCUCCA